ACUAAGGCCUGCUCCUUGGCAACACAGGCUCUGGGGUGGCUACAUCUCUCCCCACCCACUGCUAGCUCGAGCAUGCUAGUCUUUGUGCCUUAUUUCCCUGGGGUGAAGGUGACAGACAUUUCCUUCCCAUAGAUUUCGGGUGGUAUUAAAGGAGAAAACACUGCUGAGAGGGUCUAGGCACUGUCCUGCACAAAGCAAGUGUUACAGCCAUGUCAGCUCUUUCUAUUUUCACACUGUAGCCCUAGGGUAUUUUUGUCACACUGGCAAUUAUCUGGUUAGUGCCCGUCUGCCAUCUCUAGGCCCCCAAGUGUCCUGAGUCCUAAUUGAACAGAGGUCACAUGUAUCACUUUGCUGCCCCUCAAGGAUCAUAGUCAGGAAGCCCAGGGUGUUGUGUAGCUGGUAGAGUCUAGUUCUUGGGUUCAAACUCUAGCCAGCAAUUAACUGGGCACAGUGACUUUGGGUGUUCCUUAGCCCUAGGCUGGCCAUCUGUGUGGGUGUGGUGCCUAGCUCUGGUGGCUUUAAGAUAAGACAUUGGACGCACACUUGGCAUUCUGCUGUGGUGGGAGACUUGAUACCACAAACUCCAGCAACACUAAACACUGCUCCUGCUACCCUUCCAUGUGUUCCCCCCUGUGCAGGCAUCGAACCUGGACACAUCCCUGGCUCAGUAAACAUCCCAUUCACUGAAUUCCUGACCAGUGAAGGUCUGGAGAAGAGCCCAGAGGAGAUCCAACGCCUGUUCCAGGAGAAGAAGGUGGACCUGUCCAAGCCCUUGGUAGCCACAUGCGGCUCCGGUGUCACAGCCUGCCACGUGGUCCUGGGGGCCUUCCUCUGUGGCAAACCCGAUGUGCCUGUCUACGAUGGCUCCUGGGUGGAGUGGUACAUGCGUGCC
rnacentral:lncRNA from 1 species